CAGCAGCCGCGGUAAUACGUAGGGUGCGAGCGUUAAUCGGAAUUACUGGGCGUAAAGGGCGCGUAGGCGGCGGCCAAAGUCAGGCGUGAAAUUCCCGGGCUCAACCUGGGGGCUGCGUUUGAUACUUGGUUGCUUGAGUGGGGAAGAGGGUCGUGGAAUUCCCAGUGUAGAGGUGAAAUUCGUAGAUAUUGGGAAGAACACCGGUGGCGAAGGCGGCGACCUGGUCCUUUACUGACGCUGAGGCGCGAAAGCGUGGGGAGCAAACAGGAUUAGAUACCCGAGUAGUCCCUGUCUCUUAUAA
rnacentral:rRNA from 1 species